ACUAAUUUAAUAAUAACUUUUCGUAUAAUCUCAAGAAUUGGCUUGAGAGUCUCUACUCGAUCACCGUAAAUGAUCAGGCUACGAAACAGUGGAAGAGUUGC
rnacentral:ncRNA from 2 species